AACAGGAGCAGAGGAGAGACCCGGGCGGGGUGUUGACGGGCACCGAAGGGGCAAAUCUGACGUGGUGAAGGUCGGAUGAAACUCUCAGGUAGAAGGACUCUGUGUCUGAA
rnacentral:ncRNA from 2 species